AACGAACGCUGGCGGCAUGCCUAACACAUGCAAGUCGAACGAGACCUUCGGGUCUAGUGGCGCACGGGUGCGUAACGCGUGGGAACCUGCCCUUAGGUUCGGAAUAACUCCCCGAAAGGGGUGCUAAUACCGGAUAAUGUCUUCGGACCAAAGAUUUAUCGCCUUUGGAUGGGCCCGCGUUGGAUUAGCUAGUUGGUAGGGUAAAAGCCUACCAAGGAGACGAUCCAUAGCUGGUCUGAGAGGAUGAUAAGCCACACUGGGACUGAGACACGGCCCAGACUCGUACGGGAGGCAGCAGUGGGGAAUAUUGGACGAUGGGCGAAAGCCUGAUCCAGCAAUGCCGCGUGAGUGAUGAAGGCCUUAGGGUUGUAAAGCUCUUUUACCCGGGAUGAUAAUGACAGUACCGGGAGAAUAAGCUCCGGCUAACUACGUG
rnacentral:rRNA from 1 species